UACGAACGCUGGCGGCGUGCUUAACACAUGCAAGUCGAACGGUAAGGCCCUUCGGGGUACACGAGUGGCGAACGGGUGAGUAACACGUGGGUGAUCUGCCCUGCACUUCGGGAUAAGCCUGGGAAACUGGGUCUAAUACCGGAUAGGACCACUGCCUGCAUGGGGGGUGGUGGAAAGCUUUUGCGGUGUGGGAUGGGCCCGCGGCCUAUCAGGUUGUUGGUGGGGUGAUGGCCUACCAAGGCGACGACGGGUAGCCGGCCUGAGAGGGUGGCCGGCCACACUGGGACUGAGAUACGGCCCAGACUCCUACGGGAGGCAGCAGUGGGGAAUAUUGCACAAUGGGCGCAAGCCUGAUGCAGCGACGCCGCGUGAGGGAUGACGGCCUUCGGGUUGUAAACCUCUUUCAGCACCGACGAAGCGCAAGUGACGGUAGGUGCAGAAGAAGGACCGGCCAACUACGUGCCAGCCGCCGCCGUAACAC
rnacentral:rRNA from 1 species